AUUUGGCAAUGGGGGAAACCCUGACCGAGCAACGCCGCGUGUGCGAUGGAGUCCCUCAGGGACGUGAAGCACUGUGGGGGGCCGCCAAACGGGCGGGCAGGAAAUGGCCCGUCCCCGAGGAGCCCCCUAGAAAGCGACUGCUAACCACGUGCCAGCAGCAGCGGUAAUACGUGGGUCGCAAGCGUUAUCCGGAAUCAUUGGGCGUAAAGAGUGAGCAGGCGGUCCGGGAAGUCCGCGGUGAAAUGCGGGGGCUCAACCCCCGCAGGCCGCGGAUACUUCCGGUCUGGGGUGCGGGAGAGGCGGACGGAACUCCGCGUGUAGCGGUGAAAUGCACUGAUACGCGGAAGAACACCGGUGGCGAAGGCGGUCCGCCAGACCGAUACCGACGCUCAGUCACGAAAGCGUGGGGAGCAAAUAGGAUUAGAUACCCUAGUAGUCCACGCCGUAAACGAUGGGGGCCAGGGCGCGGGGUCGACCCGCGUCCGAAGCAAACGCAUUAAGCCCCCCGCCUGGGUACUACGUUCGCAAGAAUAAAACUUAAAGGAAUUGGCGGGUGCCCGCACAAGCAGUGGAGCAUGCGGUUCAAUUCGUGGCUACACGUAGAACCUUACCAGGGUUUGACAUGCCGGCAAAGGCCCCGGAGACGGGGAGAUAGCUAUGCCGGACAAAGGUGGUGCAUGGCUGUCGUCAGCUCGUGUCGUGAGAUGUUAGGUCAAGUCCUCCAACGAGCGCGACCCCCGCCGCCAGUUGCCAUCAUUGAGUUGGGCACUCUGGCGGGACCGCCGGCGACAAGCCGGAGGAAGGCGGGGAUGACGUCAAGUCAUCAUGCCCCUUAUGCCCUGGGCCACACGCGUGCUACAAUGGCCGGCACAGUGGGAAGCGACGCCGCGAGGCGGAGCGGAUCCCAAAAGCCGGUCCCAGUACGGACCGGGGGCUGCAACCCGCCCCCGCGAAGCUGGAAUUGCUAGUAAUCGCGGAUCAGCCAAGCCGCGGUGAAUGCGUUCUCGGGCAUUGCACACACUGCCCGUCACACCAUGAAAGCCUGCAACGCUCUAAGUCGCCAGCCCGACCCGAAAGGGGGGGCGGCGCCCAAGGCGGGGCCGGUGAUUGGGGUUAAGUCGAAACAAGGUAUCCCUACGAGAACGUGGGGAUG
rnacentral:rRNA from 1 species